CCCCUAGAUGUUCUGGGCCGCACGCGCGCUACACUGAACAGUUCAACAAGUCUUAACCUUGGCCGAUAGGUCUGGGUAAUCUUUGAACGCCGGUCGUGAUGGGGAUAGAUCCUUGCAAUUUUUGAUCUUCAACGAGGAAUUCCUAGUAAAUGCGAGUCAUCAUCUCGCGUUGAUUACGUCCCUGCCCUUUGUACACACCGCCCGUCGCACCUACCGAUUGAAUGGUCCGGUGAAGCCUCGGGAUUGCGAAUGCUUCGUGCGGACGCGAGAACUUGGCUAAACCUUACCAUUUAGAGGAAGGUGAAGUCGUAACA
rnacentral:rRNA from 1 species